AUGUAUAACGAAUAAAGUUGUCAGGAGCGCCCAAAGCCAAAAGCAAAGAAUGGUCUAACCCAACUUCAACCCUUAAAAAGGAACCAAACCCUAAUCAAAAGUAGGACUUGGAGUUGGAGUGGAUUUGACGCGUUGCCCUUUUGUCCGUAAACUCUACUAUCUGUUUAUAAAUAUGGGUAUCUUCCCGGGUUUCUUUUUUCGCCUCGAUAUUUCUGGAAUCUAGACUAGUGGGAUAUGGGUAUUCACUAAAAUCAGGUUUAGUGUUGUGAGUUUUCUAGUUCUUGUUGUUUAACGAGAAUCUGUCUUAAAAGGGCUCCGGUGACGAGUAGGAAGUGCUGUAAGUUCUUCCAAUAUCUGAAAGCUUCAUCAAACUCGAGCUUCAUUGUGGAACUAAACUCACUCUGAGGAGAAUCUACCUCUCUCUCUCUCUUUCUUUCCCCACUAGUUUGUUCCAGCUUUGAGUUUUCCCUCUGUUAAGAAUUGGUAUCUAGAAAGACAAAUUGUUUAUCCGAGUAGAUACUGGGUUUCGCUUGGGUGUAUUUUUUUUUUUUUUUGGGCAUUUGGUGAGGAAAAAUAUUGGUUUACAACUAUUGAACUAAAUUGGUGCAACUGGCCAAAAUGGAAAAAUAAAAGAAAAUGUGUUUGUCGAAAUGUUUCUUCAACAAACCGUCUGGAAUGGAAAGAGCAUUCUGUUAUAGUAUUUUUUGUAUCAGUUUAGUACCUCUGAACUGACGGUAUUUGUACUUCUUUGAAGCUUUGCCAGAAUAAUGCAGUUGAGAGGUUUGUUUAGUGUUUGCAGGGGGAAGUUGCUGAAAUUUCCCCUCUUUCAACCAAUGAACUUAACGCCAUCAGUUUUUGUUCAUCCGGGAAAACCAGUCAAAAAACUUCAAGCUUGGAUGUGUUAUUCUAGUUAUUCAAUCAAUGAUGACUUAAAGAAAGGCCAUGAAAAGAUGAUGUUGGCAAAAGACUUGGCAUGUCUUGUCGAGGAAUCAUCUCGUCAAGAUGAGAGGAAAGCCAAGAGCAGAAUGGAGCUAAAGAGGUCUCUUGAACGUCGUGUAAAGAAUAGAGUAAAGGAGCAAUUCUUUGAUGGCAAGUUUCGAAACCUAAUGGCCAAAGUGAUUGCCAAUCCAGAAACACUUCAAGAUGCUUAUAAUUGUAUUAGGCUCAACUCAAAUGUUGACAUAUCUGUGAAGGAUUAUUCUGUUUGUUUUAAGUCCUUGGCAGAGGAGCUUCUUGGGGGGACUUUUGAUGUCAGAGCAAAUACCUUCUCUGUCUCAACAAGAGGUGUGAACAAAGAAAUACUUGUCCUUCCAAAUCUGAAAGUGAGAACUGUUCAAGAGGCUAUCAGAAUAGUUUUGGAAGUUGUUUACAAGCCCCAUUUUUCUAAAAUUUCACAUGGCUGUCGAAGUGGGAGGGGUCAAUCCACUGCAAUGAGAUACAUCGGGAAAGAGAUUUCUGCUCCAAAUUGGUGGUUCACAUUAAUUUUAAACAAAAAGGUUGAUUCUGGUAUCCUUGCUAAGCUCAUUUCAAAAUUGGAGGUCAAGGUAGAGGACAACCAGUUAUAUGCUAUUAUCAAAAGCAUGUUUGAUGCAGAAGUACUUAAUUUUGAGUUUGGAGGUUUCCCGAAAGGCCAUGGCCUUCCACAGGAGGGAGUAUUAUCCCCAAUAUUAAUGAAUAUAUAUCUUGACCUUUUCGAUCAAGAAUUUUACAGAUUGUCCAUGAGAUAUGAAGCUCUUCAUCCAGGCUUUGAUAAGGAUAAAGAUAAGUCACAUUCCAAGUUGCGCAACUGGUUUAGGAGACGGUUAAAGGAAAAUGAUCUAAAAAAUACAGUUAAUGAUGAUUCUGGCCCAAGAGUUCAUUGUUGUCGGUAUAUGGAUGAGAUUUUUUUUGCAAUUUCUGGUUCCAAAGAUAUUGCUCUAAGUUUCAAGUCCGAGAUUGUAGAUUUUUUUAAGAAUUCUUUGCACUUGGAUGUUGAUGAUGCGCAAACAGAAAUUCUACCAUGUGAUGGGUCUAAUGGGAUUCGCAUUUUAGGAGCUUUAGUCAGAAGAAGUGUGCAAGAAGGUCCUGCUACAAGGGCUGUGCACAAGUUAAAGGAAAAAGUCAAGCUAUUUGCUUCACAGAAACAAGAUGCUUGGAAUGCUGGGAGUGUUAGAAUUGGGAAGAAAUGGUUAGCUCAUGGUUUAAAGAAGAUUAAGGAGUCCGAAAUCAAGCAUUUAGCUGAUAGUGGCUCUACUUUGAGUAAAAUUUCAUGUUUCCGUAAAGCUGGGAUGGAAACUGAUCAUUGGUACAAGGUCUUAGUGAAAGUAUGGAUGCAAGACGUUAAAGCCAAAACAGCAAAGAAUGAGGAAUCAAUCUUGUCCAAAAAUGUUGUAGAACCAGCCCUUCCUCAAGAACUAAAGGAAGCUUAUUUUGAAUUUUUGAAGCGUGCAAAUGAAUAUGUUUAUUCUGAAACAGCUGCUAUCCUUGCUCUUUUACCAAAGUCAAGCUCAAACACUGGAUCUGUCACUAUCACUGAGAUUGUUGCUCCAGUCAAUGCCAUAAAGAAGCGUCUCUUACGAUAUGGAUUAACCACCCCAGAAGGAUAUCCUCGUGUGGCUUCAUUGCUUAUCUUACAAGAUAACGUCCAAAUAAUUGACUGGUUUUCAGGAAUUGUUUGCCGAUGGCUUAGGUGGUAUCGUGAGUGUGACAACUUCAAUGAGGUUAAGCUUAUAAUUUCUACUUUACUGCGGAAAUCCUGCAUUCGUACUCUAGCAGCAAAAUAUGGGAUUCAUGAAAGUGAAAUAGAGAAACGAUUUGAGUCAGAACUAUGCAGAAUCCCCUUGACAGAAGAGGUGGAGCAAGAGCUGACAUAUGAAACUUCAGAUUCAAACUCUUUUGAUAAUGAUGAAGCCUUGAUGUAUGGAAUUUCUUAUAGUGGUUUGUGUCUGCUAUCUCUCGCAAGAAUUGUGAGCCAGUCAAGGCCUUGCAAUUGUUUUGUUUUGGGGUGUUCAGUGGCAGCACCAAGCGUGUAUACUCUCCAUGCUAUGGAAAGACAGAAGUUUCCCGGUUGGAAGACAGGGUUCUCAAGUUGUAUUCAUCCAAGCUUGAAUAAAAGGCGAAUUGGAUUGUGUAAGAAACAUUUAAAGGACUUAUAUCUUGGUCAUAUAUCACUUCAGUCCAUUGAUUUUGGUGCAUGGAAGUGAUGUCUUUCAACAAAGUUUAAGUAUUAUUUAAACAGCAGAAAUAUGGACUUCUGAUCAUUUAUUUGCCAUGGAAUGUACAGAGUGUGAAAGCCAUUAUGAACAUUCUAGCUAGGUUAAUGGCGUUAUUACUUGGACAUGGUCAGACUCCUUGGCAUUCUCAACAUAUUAUUAAAAAAAAACACUGCUUACAAAACAUCUAGCCUUGAAAUAGUUGAAAACCUUCUUUUCCCUGAUAUGCUCAUUAUCUUUUUGACAAUGGGUGUUAUGAGGAGGCAAUGAAGCACCUUUUGGCAUCUCAAGUAGAUAUUACCUAUGUGCUUUUU